UACGAAGGGGGCUAGCGUUGCUCGGAAUCACUGGGCGUAAAGCGCACGUAGGCGGAUUGUUAAGUCAGGGGUGAAAUCCUGGAGCUCAACUCCAGAACUGCUUUUGAUACUGAAGAUCUUGAGUUCGGGAGAGGUGAGUGGAACUGCGAGUGUAGAGGUGAAAUUCGUAGAUAUUCGCAAGAACACCAGUGGCGAAGGCGGCUCACUGGCCCGAUACUGACGCUGAGGCACGAAAGCGUGGGGAGCAAACAGG
rnacentral:rRNA from 1 species